UACGUAGGUGGCAAAGCGUUUGUCCGGAAUUAUUGGGCGUAAAGCGCGCGCAGGCGGUCCUUUUAAGUCUGAUGUGAAAGCCCACGGCUCAACCGUGGAGGGUCAUUGGAAACUGGGGGGACUUGAGUGCAGAAGAGGAGAGUGGAAUUCCACGUGUAGCGGUGAAAUGCGUAGAGAUGUGGAGGAACACCAGGUGGCGAAGCGACUCUCUGGUCUGUAACUGGACGCUGAGGCGCGAAAGCGUGGGGAGCAAACAGGAUUGAGAAACCCU
rnacentral:rRNA from 1 species